UACGUAGGGUGCGAGCGUUAAUCGGAAUUACUGGCGUAAAGGGUGCGUAGGCGGCGCGGUAAGUCGGGUGUGAAAUCUCGGGGCUUAAACUCCGAAACUGCAUUCGAUACUGCCGUGCUUGAGGACUGGAGAGGAGACUGGAAUUUACGGUGUAGCGGUGAAAUGCGUAGAUAUCUGGAGGAACACCGGUGGCGAAGGCGGCAUCCUGGACCAACACUG
rnacentral:rRNA from 1 species